rnacentral:misc_RNA from 1 species
CUAACUUACAAAAGGAUGUAGACAAGAAGGAUAAUUAGCAAUGCUAAAUUGCUCCAAAGAGGGAAAGGAAGCUACUUGUUCAAAAUUCAAAGAGCCUGAUGAAAGUUACCAAGAUAUAGUCUCAUCACUAAAAACAUGGACCGUCUUUAAAAAAGCGUACUCAAGUACUAAAUGACAUUCCUAGAACUCAGUGUUGGAGCAAAGAUGGAGUGGGGUGGGUCACCACAUGGUGUUUGCUAAUCUAUAAUGGCUCUACAGAAAGAUUAUGAAUUUAUGAUAUUAGUAAUGGAUUGGUAGGCCAUGCCAGUAUCAACAUUAUUGCAAGUGAAAGCUAUUUUAAUCUAUUUCAUGUUUAUAUAAAUAUAUUCCUUUACAUGUAUCAUCCACAAAGAUGAUCAAACAAUGAUCUAUAGAAACAUACUACUGUUCAUUGAUAUUGGCACCCAACGUUAAAAACUCACCGGACCUUCUUAUUUGACUUAGACUUGAAAGGGAAGCGCGAUGGAGGUGAAGGAGAACAUUCAAUCGGUAAUUGAGGUGGCUCUAAUUGACCAGUAAGCAUCCCCACAACCUCCUUCAUGGAAGGCCGGCGAGCAGGACACUUCUGCAAACACAGAAGAGCAACAGUAAUGCAUAAAAGAGCUUGAUCUCGAUCCAAAGACUGUACAGAUUGAUCAACCAAAUCAAGAAGCUUUCCAGAACGUGCCAGAUGACGAGCCCAAUGUAUUAAAUUAGCACGUUGAAAUUCAGACAUGGGCGAGUUUGUAACCUGCAGCGGACGCCUUCCAGCAAUAAGAACUAGCAAUAAAACUCCAAAGCUAUACACAUCAGACUUGUCUGAUAAAAGCGCACCGCCUCCAUACUCAGGGGCAACAUAACAAAUAGUUCCUCUCAUACUCGGUGUACUGCUAAUUCCUCCACUCUUUGCUAUCUCUCCGCUUAAAGAAUCAUGGCUGUUGUAGAUACCUCUAAAUAGCUCACCGCUAAACCAGUCAACACUGCCUCGACUGCUUCUACUCCUACUCCGCUUCUUCUUCUUUUUCUCAACGUACAACUCCUCAUCCCUUGGCCACCACUCUUCUCCUCCUCCCCCAAUGUCAUCGUUGGUCAUCCCCAUAUUUCGUUUCU